GCGACAGUGGCGUAGUUGGUAACGCGCGACCUUGCCAAGGUCGAGACCGCGGGUUCGAGCCCCGUCUGUCGCUCUA
rnacentral:tRNA from 1 species